GACGAACGCUGGCGGCGUGCCUAAUACAUGCAAGUCGAACGGAGUGUCGCACGGUUGAGUAAUGUAUAGCUAAUCUCCCCUACACUAUAAGACAACAGUUGGAAACGGCUGCUAAUACUCAAUAGUGUAGGAAGAGGCUAUAUUGUAUCAACUAGUUGGGGAGGUAAUGGCUCACAAAGGCUAUGACGCAUAACUGGUCUAUGAGGAUGAUCAGUCACACUGGAACUGAGACACGGUUCAGACUCCUUCGGGAGGCAGCAGUAGGGAAUAUUGCUAAGUGGGGCAAAACCUGAAGCAGCAACGCCGAGAGGAGGAUGACACUUUGCGGAGCGUAAACUCCUUUUGUUAGGGAAGCGGUACCUAACGAAUAAGAACCGGCUAAAUCAGUGCCAGCCGCCGCGGUAUUAC
rnacentral:rRNA from 1 species